rnacentral:rRNA from 1 species
CACGUAGGGUGCGAGCGUUGUCCGGAAUUAUUGGGCGUAAAGAGCUCGUAGGCGGUCUGUCGCGUCUGCUGUGAAAACUCGGGGGCUUAACCCCGGGCCUGCAGUGGGUACGGGCAGACUAGAGUGCGGUAGGGGAGACUGGAAUUCCUGGUGUAGCGGUGAAAUGCGCAGAUAUCAGGAGGAACACCGGUGGCGAAGGCGGGUCUCUGGGCCGAUACUGACGCUGAGGAGCGAAAGCGUGGGGAGCGAACAGG